AUUGAACGCUGGCGGCAGGCCUAACACAUGCAAGUCGAGCGAGCGGCGGACGGGUGAGUAAUGUCUGGGAACCUGCCUGAUGGAGGGGGAUAACUACUGGAAACGGUAGCUAAUACCGCAUACCAUCAGAUGUGCCCAGAUGGGAUUAGCUAGUAGGUGGGGUAACGGCUCACCUAGGCGACGAUCCCUAGCUGGUCUGAGAGGAUGACCAGCCCCACUGGACGUGGGCGCCGGUCCAGACUCCUACGGGAGGAAGCAGUGGGGAAUAUUGCACAAUGGGGUGGAGACUGAUGUAGCCAUGCAGCGUGUGAGAAGAAGGCCUUCGGGUGGUAAAGCACUUUAAGCGGGGAAGCGUUACCCGCAGAAGAAGCACCGGCUAACGCCGUGCCAGCAGCCGCGGUAAUUC
rnacentral:rRNA from 1 species